AGCAGCCGCGGUAAUUCCAGCUCCAAUAGCGUAUAUUAAAGUUGUUGCAGUUAAAAAGCUCGUAGUUGAAUUUCGAGAUCAAUUUGUUGGUCGUGCCUCGGUACGUACUGGCAAUUUUGAUUUCUCCCUUCUGAAGAACCAUGAUGUCAUUAAUUUGGUGUCAUGGGGAAUCAGGACCGUUACUUUGAAAAAAUUAGAGUGUUUAAAGCAGGCUCGCGCUUGAAUACAUUAGCAUGGAAUAAUGAAAUAGGACGUUUGAUUCUAUUUUGUUGGUUCUAUUUUGUUGGUUUCUAGGAUCGACGUAAUGAUUAAUAGGGAUAGUUGGGGGCAUUAGUAUUCAAUUGUCAGAGGUGAAAUUCUUGGAUUUAUUGAAGACUAACUACUGCGAAAGCAUUUGCCAAGGAUGUUUUCAUUAAUCAAGAACGAAAGUUAGGGGAUCGAAGACGAUCAGAUACCGUCGUAGUCUUAACCAUAAACUAUGCCGACUAGGGAUCGGAUGAUGUUAAUUUUUUAAUGACUCAUUCGGCGCCUUACG
rnacentral:rRNA from 1 species